rnacentral:rRNA from 1 species
GACGAACGCUGGCGGCGUGCUUAACACAUGCAAGUCGAACGAUGAAGCCUAGCUUGCUAGGUGGAUUAGUGGCGAACGGGUGAGUAAUACGUGAGUAACCUACCUUUAACUCUGGGAUAAGCCUGGGAAACUGGGUCUAAUACCGGAUACGACCAAUCUCCGCAUGGGGUGUUGGUGGAAAGCGUUAUGUAGUGGUUAUAGAUGGGCUCACGGCCUAUCAGCUUGUUGGUGAGGUAACGGCUCACCAAGGCGACGACGGGUAGCCGGCCUGAGAGGGUGACCGGCCACACUGGGACUGAGACACGGCCCAGACUCCUACGGGAGGCAGCAGUGGGGAAUAUUGCACAAUGGGCGCAAGCCUGAUGCAGCGACGCCGCGUGAGGGAUGACGGCCUUCGGGUUGUAAACCUCUGUUAGCAGGGAAGAAGAGAGAUUGACGGUACCUGCAGAGAAAGCGCCGGCUAACUACGUGCCAGCAGCCGCGGUAAUACGUAGGGCGCGAGCGUUGUCCGGAAUUAUUGGGCGUAAAGAGCUUGUANGCGGUUUGUCGCGUCUGCUGUGAAGGCCGGAGCUUAACUCCGUGUAUUGCAGUGGGUACGGGCAGACUAGAGUGCAGUAGGGGAGACUGGAAUUCCUGGUGUAGCGGUGGAAUGCGCAGAUAUCAGGAGGAACACCGAUGGCGAAGGCAGGUCUCUGGGCUGUAACUGACGCUGAGAAGCGAAAGCAUGGGGAGCGAACAGGAUUAGAUACCCUGGUAGUCCAUGCCGUAAACGUUGGGCACUAGGUGUGGGGGACAUUCCACGUUUUCCGCGCCGUAGCUAACGCAUUAAGUGCCCCGCCUGGGGAGUACGGCCGCAAGGCUAAAACUCAAAGAAAUUGACGGGGGCCCGCACAAGCGGCGGAGCAUGCGGAUUAAUUCGAUGCAACGCGAAGAACCUUACCAAGGCUUGACAUAUACUGGACCGCAUCAGAGAUGGUGUUUCCCUUCGGGGCUGGUAUACAGGUGGUGCAUGGUUGUCGUCAGCUCGUGUCGUGAGAUGUUGGGUUAAGUCCCGCAACGAGCGCAACCCUCGUUCUAUGUUGCCAGCACGUAAUGGUGGGGACUCAUAGGAGACUGCCGGGGUCAACUCGGAGGAAGGUGGGGAUGACGUCAAAUCAUCAUGCCCCUUAUGUCUUGGGCUUCACGCAUGCUACAAUGGCCGGUACAGAGGGUUGCGAUACUGUGAGGUGGAGCUAAUCCCUAAAAGCCGGUCUCAGUUCGGAUUGGGGUCUGCAACUCGACCCCAUGAAGUCGGAGUCGCUAGUAAUCGCAGAUCAGCAACGCUGCGGUGAAUACGUUCCCGGGCCU